rnacentral:rRNA from 1 species
AGUGAACGCUGGCGGUAGGCCUAACACAUGCAAGUCGAACGGCAGCACAGUAAGAGCUUGCUCUUACGGGUGGCGAGUGGCGGACGGGUGAGGAAUACAUCGGAAUCUACUUUUUCGUGGGGGAUAACGUAGGGAAACUUACGCUAAUACCGCAUACGACCUACGGGUGAAAGCAGGGGAUCUUCGGACCUUGCGCGAUUGAAUGAGCCGAUGUCGGAUUAGCUAGUUGGCGGGGUAAAGGCCCACCAAGGCGCCGAUAGGUAGCUGGUCUGAGAGGAUGAGCAGCCACACUGGAACUGAGACACGGUCCAGACUCCUACGGGAGGCAGCAGUGGGGAAUAUUGGACAAUGGGCGCAAGCCUGAUCCAGCCAUACCGCGUGGGUGAAGAAGGCCUUCGGGUUGUAAAGCCCUUUUGUUGGGAAAGAAAAGCAGCAGGUUAAUACCCCGCUGUUCUGACGGUACCCAAAGAAUAAGCACCGGCUAACUUCGUG